AACGCACAUUGCGCCCCUUGGUAUUCCGGGGGGCAUGCCUGUUCGAGCGUCAUUUAUACCAAUCUAGCCCCGCUAGGUGUUGGGUUUCGCCGUUUGGCGGGCCUUAAAAUUAGUGGCGGUGCUCCUCAGCUCUACGCGUAGUAAUUCUUCUCGCUACAGGGUCUUGUGGAGAUGCUUGCCAGCAACCCCGAAUUUUUCUAGGUUGACCUCGGAUCAGGUAGGGAUACCCGCUGAACUUAA
rnacentral:misc_RNA from 1 species